rnacentral:rRNA from 1 species
CCAAUAGCGUAUAUUAAAGUUGCUGCAGUUAAAAAGCUCGUAGUUGAAUUUCGGGACCAAUAUGUUGGUCGUGCUUUUGUACGUACUGAUAUAAUUGGUUUCUCCCUUCUGAAGAACCUUGAUGUCAUUAAUUUGGUGUCUUGGGGAAUCAGGACUGUUACUUUGAAAAAAUUAGAGUGUUUAAAGCAGGCUCGCGCUUGAAUACAUUAGCAUGGAAUAA